rnacentral:rRNA from 1 species
AUGGCGAUCACUUCUUUGAAAGAUAGAUUUAAAGAACUCAUGGUGUUUAAAGAAAUAUUCGGAUUUUUAUUGAGUUCGGGCACCCCGAGAUCAGUGUAUGAUAUUGAACUUCAGGAGUGUUGCAUCAAGUUUGCAGAAACUUUCUUUCUUCAUGUUUCAUGUGAUGUUGAGGUAUAUGAUCUUAUUUAUGAAUUGAAGAUUAUGAGAUUCGCAAGAUUAUGAGAUUCAUUUUGCGAGAUGAUGCAACGUCUACUAUGGAGAUUUUUGACCAAGUAAGAGAAACUAAUUGUUACAUAUCACGUCUUAUUUACUGUGCAUGUGACUAUCACAUCGGUCGAAAGAAGCUUUUCGAAAUUGAAAUUACUGAAGAAUUAUCUGAGGUCAACAAUGACCCAGCACAGGUUAAAUGGUUGGGCAACAUUAUACAUUGAUAAGAAACUAUUAGAUGAUAUUCACAUCGACCACAUCAUAAGUGACUUUGCAUCGAGGAAUAUUAGAAGAAAUGUUUAA